CAUUUCUCUGCCUGAACUGCUUGAUGUGUGGGAUUCACGGAAAAAGUGAUUAAUUAGAAAUUACCUGGCAAGGGAAGAAUAGCUACUUUGAAGCAUGAAAAUAUCCUGUUGACAUUGAAAAGACUUCUACAUUGAAUGCAAAUGAAUACAUUCCUGAGACACUGAGUAACUAAACAAGCAAAUGAAUUUCUGAAGGUGACAAAAUUUUACCUUGCUUUCAAACAAUAAUGUGCACAUACUUCCAGGUAAACUUUUUCUGUACUUUUACUCCAGAGCACUGCACUGUGUCUCAAGCAGGGUCUUUGAAGGACUUUUUAACACAGAAGGUAACUGAUCCAUCUCAGGUUGGAAAGAGAAAUGUCACUUUUCAGCUUCUACUGGGGAUAGAAAUCUCUAUAGACAACUCAGGAAAGAGGGAUUCUUACCUCACUAGCUGGACUUCAUCAUCUGUGGACUCCUCAUCUCCUUUCUCAUCAGAAUAAUGCUUGAUUAUGGUAAGAGAUCAGCAGUGCAAGGUGUAAGUGGACAACUUUCUGAAAUGAAUGCAUAUCUAAUUUCAGCUACUAACUCAUCACCUUUCAAACAUUUGCAAAGUAUGAUAUAUCAAGAACACAAAGCUACUUUCAUUUCUUUAAUAUUGUGGUAAAAAAGUCAGAACUCUCCAGUGAUUUUUCUGUUUCUUUAGAGGAAAAACAGCAGCGUAUUACUGGAAGCCUGUACACAAGCAGAGAUUAAAAAGUGAAAGAGACUUAGUAAAUUUAGCAAAUUCUUAAUAAAAGUAGAAAUUUCAAAAUGGACAAUACUCAGCAGGAAAUAUUUUAGUAUGGAGGAGGAGAUGUACACAGUGUGGUGAAUACAUUCUGUAAUGUUUCUGCACAUAUUUUGCAAUGAUAAAAAGAGAAUGUUCACCACUUGAGGAGACUCUACGUUUUUCAUGCAAGGCGCAGAAGGAAGUGCUACAGCAUCCUCUCCUGUUGGGAAACACAGCAAUGAGGAGAACAGGAUAAGGGGAAAAGGUCAUCUGAAAAGAGACAGCAGUACCAGAACUCUGUGUCUCUCUCUCAGGCAUACACCAAGCCUACAACUCUGCCUGCACACAGACCAGGGCUGUCUCUUGAAUAUCUCAGAUUUCACUUAGCCACAACUGGAGACUGUGACUCUGUAAGUCCAACCAACCCCUUCCAGGAGGGAUCUGUCUGGGCUGCUGCCAUUGCUAUGUGAGAGGAAAAAGCAGCCCUCGCAAUGUAUAGAUCAGCAGGAAGAGUGAGAGGGGUGUGAGACAAGGCUGGCUUGGGUAACUUCUAACAAAUUCAGGAGACUACCUGGAUGAACAAAAACUCCCUGAUCACUCAGACACAUAAUGAGAUUGGUAAAAAUGCGAGAAAGCUGCCUGCAGGUAACCUGUCAGACUGACAGUGUAAUGUUUGGGGCUGGACCAAUACCUUUGCUCUAUCUUUAGGUACAAAACCAGGCUGAUGCAGACCUACGUUCAACCCCACCCCAACAACCCAGCCAGCUCCUGCAGGCCGCUCCUCUCUUCCUGUGCUCUCUGAAUCAGUGGAAACAAAAGGCAGCAUUGUCUGGACAAGUGAAUCAUUUCCCGAUGAUUCCCAGAAAAGCUCGACAGUGGAACAGAAAACCUAUGGAUACAUUAUCUUGUCUUACUUUUUUAUCACUUUCUCAUUGCAUCCCUGCAGAAGUGCAGUGAUUAUUUAACACAUAGAGACUGGGGGGAGCUGUCUAUUGCUCAUGGGUUGCUGUACACUCACAGUUCU